UCGCCAUGAUCGAUUGGAUCGCACCCGCACCUGGAUCCAUCGUCCGCCCUCCAGCUCCACGAUCUUCCAGCGCCAUGCCCCAGAUUGUUUCGCGCGCAGGGUUUAGAAACUCAGAUGGACUUCGGCAGGCAAGCUCGACAGCUCUACGAGGAGAUGGAAGAUUUCGACACGGAUGCUUGUUCCUCGAGGGAAGAAGAUCUCUGGCCAGGGGUCUUGAAGUUUGGGGGCGCAGAAAGUCCAAGUUACGGUGGUGAUGGAUCUCUGCAAGCUUGCGAUUGCUGGUCGAGCUUCACGUUGCUCACGGCUUCGACUCCAACUUCAAGGUCUCAUCAACGAACUUGACAUGGCCAGGCGAGUUUUCUCCAAAGUGAGAGCUCGUGACGUGGUCUCUUGGACGGCUUUGAUCGUCGCCACCACUACGAUUUGGAGUUCAUGCGGCUCUUGGCGAGGAAAGACGGAUCCGGCGACGGCGUUGAAGCAGCGAAGCUUGGAUCCGGAGGAUUUGGAGAAAGGCCAGGAGCUUCACGUAGAGAUCACUGCCUCGAGGGACUGCUCUAAAUCGCCGGUGGUUCUCAAUGCACUCGUCAACAUGUGCGAAGAGUUGUUCAAGGGGAUGAGGGACAAGGGUGGACGAUUUUGAUCUCGGCUUACGUCGAAGGCUCUACCGCCGAAUGAUCCUGGAAGGAGUCCAGCCAACCGAGGUGACGAUGCUGGUGGUCAUUGCCGCAUGCUCGGCUAUGGAGUCACCCUGGGAAGUAAACGACGGGCUUCUGGACAGCUUAAAGAGGACACGUUCUGAGGUAAGAACUCUCUAUGCCUUCUUUUAUUUUCUGACUACGAGUGAGAGCAGCGAUUUGCACGUAGUCCAUACUCUGUGUAAGCUUAACAUUAUAUACUCUGGAUUGUGAUCUCUUUGUCACACAUCA